UACAGUUCUGCAAGAAGUUGAUGUUGGAGUGGGGUGACUCCUCCUUGCUUGCCGUGGAAGAGGAAGAAAGUCAAGAAGAAACAGCAGGAAACCUUCUACAAAUGUAGUGCAACUACAGCCGUGUAUGCACAACUUUCUGUCAAUCUGCGGCACUAAUCAAGUGGACCACUUUUUGCGGGGCGGCGCUCAUGACAGAAUCCCAGAGGGAGUGAGUGCCUAAACGUAUAUUUAUUUUUGUCAAAUGCAUCUUAUUUCUA